AGACAGCAAAAGCAACAAGGGAAGGGGAGGAGCUCUAAACUGAGCCUUUCUGCCCCUUUCAUCUGAUGCUGAUUACUUAGGGAGCGAUUACUUCCGCUCUCAGUCAGUGCCCUGGAGCCUAGCAUUGCACCAGGAAUCAGUUCCAAGCAAAGCUCCACCCAUGCCUGCACAAGGCUUUGGGAGGACAUCAAGUCAUAGCCCUAACACACGCAUUGGAGCAUUGCAGGCAUGAAGCUUCCACUGUUCACGCAGCCCUGCUGUAGCCUGGGCGGGAGCAGCAUGCUUCCCACUGGAGAGACAGAAACUCGUGAUCGGGGCAGAAUACUGGGAAUAAGUAAGAAUGGUUUGGGGGACUUCCGCAUGGAGGCCUGUAGAACUUUGAACAAAACUUGGCAAGCUUUUCCCAGGAGGAAUCAGACAGAAGAUGGAUCCACCCUUCCAAACUACAAGGUGUCCGCUGCACGUGAACUCUGUCCCUCGCUGCAGACAGGCAGGUAUAAGUUUCAAAAUAGCAUACUGUUCCCCUGGUGGUAUAUUGGAGCCUUCCAAAGGUUCUUGAGCCCUGCAGAUCCUGGAGACCAGGGCUCCCCGAGAACAGAGACUGCGAGCCAAGGACCUCACCCACCUGACUGAGCCGAGGGACAUGAAGUAGCUUGGUCGCUAUCUGAUGCAAGCUCACCUGCUCUGCGGAGCGACAGUCCUAUGGCACAACUGUUGGCUCUGGACUUUGACAGAAAGCUUGGCCUAAAGGACUUUUUCCCCUCAUGCACAAGGGGUGAUGGAAAUACAUGGUGACUGUUUAUAUCUCAAUUUAUCCCAAUAAAAGACACAGCACCAUGAAA